rnacentral:rRNA from 1 species
UACGUAGGGGGCUAGCGUUGUCCGGAAUCAUUGGGCGUAAAGAGCGUGUAGGCGGUCCGGUAAGUCCGCUGUGAAAGCCGGGGGCUCAACCCUCGAAUGCCGGUGGAUACUGUCGGGCUAGAGUGCGGAAGAGGCGAGUGGAAUUCCUGGUGUAGCGGUGAAAUGCGCAGAUAUCAGGAGGAACACCUAUUGCGAAGGCAGCUCGCUGGGACGUUACUGACGCUGAGACGCGAAAGCGUGGGGAGCAAACAGG